rnacentral:misc_RNA from 1 species
GAAAUGCGAUAAGUAAUGUGAAUUGCAGAAUUCAGUGAAUCAUCGAAUCUUUGAACGCACAUUGCGCCCGCCAGUAUUCUGGCGGGCUUGCCUGUUCGAGCGUCAUUUCAACCAUCAAGCCCCCCGGCUUGUGUUGGGGACCUGCGGCUGCCCGCAGGCCCUGAAAAACAGUGGCGGGCUCGCUGUCACACCGAGCGUAGUAGCAUACAUUCUCGCUCAGGGCGUGCUGCGGGUUCCGGCCGUUAAACGACCUUCAUAACCCAAGGUUGACCUCGGAUCAGGUAGGAAGACCCGCUGAACUUAAGC